CCUACGGGAGGCAGCAGUGGGGAAUAUUGCACAAUGGGCGAAAGCCUGAUGCAGCAACGCCGCGUGAAGGAAGAAGGGUUUCGGCUCGUAAACUUCUAUCAACAGGGACGAAAGAAAUGACGGUACCUGCAUAAGAAGCCUCGGCUAACUACGUGCCAGCAGCCGCGGGAAUACGUAGGGGGCGAGCGUUAUCCGGAAUUAGUGGGUGUAAAGGGUGAGUAGGCGGCAUGGUAAGCCAGAUGUGAAAGCCUGGGGCUUAACCCGAGGAUUGGAGUUGGAACUAGCAGGCUAGAGUACAGGAGAGGAAGGCGGAAUUCGUAGUGUAGCGGUGAAAUGCGUAGAUAUUAGGAAGAACACCAGUGGCGAAGGCAGCUUUCUGGACUGAAACUGACACUGAGGCACGAAAGCGUGGGGAGCGAACAGGAUUAGAUACCCUUGUAGUC
rnacentral:rRNA from 1 species